rnacentral:tRNA from 1 species
GGGGAGAUACCCAAGUGGCCAAAGGGGGCAGACUGUAAAUCUGCUGGCGUUUGCCUUCGGAGGUUCGAAUCCUCCUCUCCCCACCA